GACGAACGCUGGCGGCGUGCUUAACACAUGCAAGUCGAACGAAGUGGCGAACGGGUGAGUAACGCGUAAUCAACCUGCCCUUCAGCGGGGGAUAACAGUUGGAAACGACUGCUAAUACCGCAUACUGAAGGAGGGGCUUCCGUCUGAUUAGGUAGUUGGUGGGGUAAUGGCCUACCAAGCCGACGAUCUCUAGCUGGUCUGAGAGGAUGAUCAGCCACACCGGGACUUAGACACGGCCCAGACUCCUACGGGAGGCAGCAGUGGGGAAUUUUGGACAAUGGGCGCAAGCCUGAUCCAGCCAUGCCGCGUGUCUGAAGAAGGCCUUCGGGUUGUAAAGGACUUUUGUCAGGGAAGCGGUACCUGAAGAAUAAGCACCGGCUAACUACGUGCCAGCAGCCGCGGUAAUUC
rnacentral:rRNA from 1 species